ACCGCGCCCAGAGCCCCGGCCCCCUCUUCUCACCUUCAGGCUGGGCCUCAGGGGGGGCCAGGCCUUCCAGGGUUGUCAGGCUCGUGUGGACGGUGUCUUCAUGGCCACAGCUGGCGGUCCUGCGCUCCCCACCAGCCCGGCAGAGGACCCCGGGGAGCAGUCUGUGUGGAGGUUCCUCGGGUGGCCUUCUGCCUUCCUCACCCCGUUCCUGGCGGGUCUCAGGUUCUGCAGGCUUGGCAGAGGCCAUCUCUGCCGCGACGACGCCUGCGGCCUCGGCCUCGGCCUCGGGAGAGCGGGAUGCAGCAGAGCCAGUCCAUCCCUCCUCCGUCCUCUCCUGGACUGGACCAGGAUGGCGGUGACUCUGUGGACUGCCUCGGGGAGCAUGGUCCUUGGGCUACUAUAGGCUCUUGCAAUCCAAGAGCAAGGUGUGUCUUGCCAUCAGUUUGCGUCCUCUGGGAUUGCUUGCAUCAGCAUCUGGGGGGUUCUGCGUCUCUCCAGGGAGGUCUCUUCCUCAGCCGUCUCUUCUUUGGGAGGUGACGGCAAAUGGGAUCCUUUCCCCGAUGUCUCUCUCCGAGCUCUCGUUCCCAGGGUAGUGAAAGGCAGUCGGUUUCUGUGCCUUCAGGGUGCCUCCUGCGACUUGGCCCCAUUCACUGAGGCGCUCUACCCAUUUUCUGGGAGCGUCUUGAAGGGUCUGCGGGGAUAGGAUCAUGUCAUGUGCAUUGA